rnacentral:tRNA from 1 species
GUUUAAAUAGCUUAAAUUAAAGUAUGGCACUGAAAAUGCUAAGACGGAUUUUACCAUCCUUUAAACA